rnacentral:lncRNA from 1 species
CUUUAGGGGGAACCCAAGCUGACGACGUGCUAAUAUAGGGUUGUAGCUAAUCCCACCACAUGUACCAAGAAGAGGCACAUUGGAGAAUUCACCACAAGAAUCAAUGAUCUGGACACCAUCAUAUGCACGAUCAUACCAAGAGAUAUCAUCAUUAGUGAGAGACAUGAGUCUCGUAGACCACCGUAGACAUCCCUUGUUUUCCUUGAAAGCGACCGUCUGAGGUAAGUGAGAAAUAAACCACUUAUACAACAGAGGCAAAC